UUUCUUAAAGUAAACAUUUACAUUUAAUUUCGACUUAAAAAUUGAUUAUAUAAAUCUAAGAAAU
rnacentral:tRNA from 1 species